GUGCAGCAGGCGCGAAAACUCCGCAAUGCGCGCAAGCGUGAACGGGCUACCCCGAGUGCCGUCCGCUGAGGAUGGCUUUUCUCUGCUGUAAGAAGGCAGAGGAAUAAGGAGAGGGCAAGUCUGGUGUCAGCCGCCGCGGUAAUACCAGCUCUCCGAGUGGUAGGGAUGAUUAUUGGGCUUAAAGCGUCCGUAGCUGGCCUUUCAAGUCUCUUGUUAAAUCCAGCGAUUCAAUCGCUGGACUGCUGGAGAUACUGUUAGGCUAGGAGGCGGGAGAGGCCGACGGUAUUUCCGGGGUAGGAGUAAAAUCCUAUGAUCCCGGGAAG
rnacentral:rRNA from 1 species